rnacentral:tRNA from 2 species
AGUGCUGUAGGCAAAUGGUUAAGCCGCUUGAUUUUCAACUAAGUGAAUUGCGGGUUCAAAUCCCGUCAGCACUG